UGGUUCCUCGGGGGCAGCAGUGGGGAAUAUUGCACAAUGGGCGCAAGCCUGAUGCAGCGACGCCGCGUGCGGGAUGGAGGCCUUCGGGUUGUAAACCGCUUUUGUUCAAGGGCAAGGCACGGUCUUUGGCCGUGUUGAGUGGAUUGUUCGAAUAAGCACCGGCUAACUACGUGCCAGCAGCCGCGGUAAUACGUAGGGUGCAAGCGUUAUCCGGAUUUAUUGGGCGUAAAGGGCUCGUAGGCGGUCCGUCGCGUCCGGUGUGAAAUUCCAUCGCUUAACGGUGGAUCCGCGCCGGGUACGGGCGG
rnacentral:rRNA from 1 species